rnacentral:rRNA from 1 species
AAUAGAUACCCAGGUAGUCCACCCCGUAAACGUUGGGAACUAGUUGUGGGGUCCAUUCCACGGAUUCCGUGACGCAGCUAACGCAUUAAGUUCCCCGCCUGGGGAGUACGGCCGCAAGGCUAAAACUCAAAGGAAUUGACGGGGACCCGCACAAGCGGCGGAGCAUGCGGAUUAAUUCGAUGCAACGCGAAGAACCUUACCAAGGCUUGACAUAUACGAGAACGGGCCAGAAAUGGUCAACUCUUUGGACACUCGUAAACAGGUGGUGCAUGGUUGUCGUCAGCUCGUGUCGUGAGAUGUUGGGUUAAGUCCCGCAACGAGCGCAACCCUCGUUCUAUGUUGCCAGCACGUAAUGGUGGGAACUCAUGGGAUACUGCCGGGGUCAACUCGGAGGAAGGUGGGGAUGACGUCAAAUCAUCAUGCCCCUUAUGUCUUGGGCUUCACGCAUGCUACAAUGGCCGGUACAAUGGGCUGCGAUACCGUAAGGUGGAGCGAAUCCCAAAAAGCCGGUCCAGUUCGGAUUGAGGUCUGCAACUCGA